GCUGGAUUCGCUAGUAAUCGCGCAUCAGCCAUGGCGCGGUGAAUACGUUCCCGGGCCUUGUACACACCGCCCGUCAAGCCAUGAAAGCCGGGGGUACCUGAAGUACGUAACCGCAAGGAUCGUCCUAGGGUAAAACUGGUAAUUGGGGCUAAGUCGUAACAAGGUAUC
rnacentral:rRNA from 1 species